AGUGAACGCUGGCGGUAGGCCUAACACAUGCAAGUCGAACGGCAGCACAGUAAGCGCUUGCUCUUACGGGUGGCGAGUGGCGUACGGGUGAGGAAUACAUCCGAAUCUACUUUUUCGUGGGGGAUAACGUAGGGAAACUUACGCUAAUACCGCAUACGACCUACGGGUGAAAGCAGGGAAUCUUCUGACCUUGCGCGAUUGAAUGCGCCGAUGUCGGAUUAGCUAGUUGGCGGGGUAAAGGCCCACCAAGGCGACGAUCCGUAGCUGGUCUGAGAGGAUGAACAGCAAAGCGGGAACUGAGACGCGGUCCAGAAUCCUGAGAGAGGCAGCAGUGGGGAAUAUUGGAAAACGAGCGCAAGCCUGAGCCAGCCAGACCGCGUGGUUGAGGAAGGCCUUCGGGUUGUAGAGCCAUUUUGUUGGGGAAGAAAAGCAGCAGGUUAAUACCGCGCUGUUCUGACGGUACCCGAAUAAUAAGCACCGGCUAACUUCGUG
rnacentral:rRNA from 1 species